GAUGAACGCUGGCGGCGUGCCUAAUACAUGCAAGUCGAGCGAACAGACGAGGAGCUUGCUCCUCUGACGUUAGCGGCGGACGGGUGAGUAACACGUGGAUAACCUACCUAUAAGACUGGGAUAACUUCGGGAAACCGGAGCUAAUACCGGAUAAUAUAUUGAACCGCAUGGUUCAUUGGUGAAAUUCGGUUUUGCUGUAACUUAUAGAUGGAUCCGCGCCGCAUUAGCUAGUUGGUAAGGUAACGGCUUAUCAAGGCAACGAUGCGUAGCCGAACUGAGUGAGUGGUCGGCGACACUGGAACGUAAACGCGGACAUGCGUCCUACGGGAGGGAGCAGUAGGGAACCUUCCGCAAUGGGCGAAAGCCUGACAGAGCAAGACCGCGUGAGAGAUGAAGGUGUUCGGUGCGUAAAACUGUGUUAUUAGGGAAGAACAGAUGUGUAAGUAACUAUGCACGUAUUGACGGUACCUAGUCAGAAAGCCACGGCUAACUACGUG
rnacentral:rRNA from 1 species